GUGCGCUUGCUUUGACGGCACGUGUACUAAAACUGGAACGACAGAGAGGUUGAGCAUGGCCCCUAUGCAAGCAGGACAUGCAAAUCUGGGAAAUGUUUGAAAGAAAG